UACGGAGGGUGCAAGCGUUAUCCGGAUUCACUGGGUUUAAAGGGUGCGUAGGUGGCUUUGUAAGUCAGUGGUGAAAGCCCGGAGCUCAACUCCGGAACUGCCAUUGAUACUGCUUAGCUUGAAUCACGUCGAGGUGGAUGGAAUAAUACAUGUAGCGGUGAAGUGCUUAGAUAUGUAUUAGAACACCGAUUGCGAAGGCAGUUCACUAGGCGUGUAUUGACACUGAGGCACGAAAAGCGUGGGGAUCAAACAGG
rnacentral:rRNA from 1 species